rnacentral:rRNA from 1 species
AUACGGAGGGUGCAAGCGUUAUCCGGAAUCAUUGGGUUUAAAGGGUCCGUAGGCGGAUAAUUAAGUCAGGGGUGAAAUCCCACAGCUCAACUGUGGCACUGCCUUUGAUACUGGUUAUCUUGAGUUAUAGGGAAGUAGAUAGAAUAUGUAGUGUAGCGGUGAAAUGCAUAGAUAUUACAUAGAAUACCGAUUGCGAAGGCAGUCUACUAUCUGUAUACUGACGCUAAGGGACGAAAGCGUGGGGAGCGAACAGGAUUAGAAACCCUUGUAGUCC